GACGAACGCUGGCGGCGUGCUUAACACAUGCAAGUCGAACGGAAAGGCCCUGCUUUUGUGGGGUGCUCGAGUGGCGAACGGGUGAGUAACACGUGAGUAACCUGCCCUUGACUUUGGGAUAACUUCAGGAAACUGGGGCUAAUACCGGAUAGGAGCUCCUGCUGCAUGGUGGGGGUGGGAAAGUUUCGGCGGUUGGGGAUGGACUCGCGGCUUAUCAGCUUGUUGGUGGGGUAGUGGCUUACCAAGGCUUUGACGGGUAGCCGGCCUGGGAGGGUGACCGGCCACAUUGGGACUGAGAUACGGCCCAGACUCCUACGGGCGGCAGCAGUGGGGAAUAUUGCACAAUGGGCGGAAGCCUGAUGCAGCAACGCCGCGUGCGGGAUGACGGCCUUCGGGUUGUAAACCGCUUUCGCCUGUGACGAAGCGUGAGUGACGGUAAUGGGUAAAGAAGCACCGGCUAACUACGUG
rnacentral:rRNA from 1 species